CAAAUACUCCCUCCGUCCGGAAAUACUUGUCAUCAAAAUGGAUAAAAGGAAAUGUAUCUAGACGUAUUUUAGUUUUAGAUACAUCUCUUUUUAUCCAUUUCAAUGACAAGUAUUUUCGGACAGAGGGAGUAGAAA
rnacentral:pre_miRNA from 1 species